CAAGAUUCUGUCUAUAGAUGAGGAACAAGAAACAAAUCUGCUUGGAAGAAUUACAAUGUGUCUUUCUUGGGUUUUGGAGCUUGAUAAUAAUUGUUGCUAAACAAGGACUAUGUAUACUUUAUUGUUAAUUAUAAUAAUAGUCAAAAGUUUGACUCUUACACUGGAAGGAGUCAGGGAAGGAUCAGCUUGAAUCUUUUCUUAAUCCUAUCUCUGUUUCAAGGACUUGAAGAACGCUUCCAUCUUCUUUGUUUACACUACAAUAUUGGCCUCAAGGCUACUUCUCUGGGUCACUGCCGACAGUUAUGGCAUCAGGAAGGAAGCUUUUUCUUCUUGUUAUAAAUAUCAGUGUGAAGAGAGGAUACAUGAAGAUCAAGGUGGAGGAUUGUCUUUCGAAAUAAGAUGGUACUAUAUGAUUACUUACUGCAGUGAAGAAACAGCAAGACAGCUAAACCUAGAAUAAAAGGAAAAUAGAAGACAAAUGAGCUAAAAUAAUGGCAGUAACCAAUCUCCAUCACAGCUACUGAAAACCUAAAUUCCUUGAUGCCAUCCAUGCAAACCUGAAUGAGGAUCUGAUUAUCUAUCUGGAUAGAGCCGAACAAGAUCAAAGAAGCAAGAACUACAUAGAUUUUCCUUGAAUGUCAUAACACUGACAUUCUUUGGCUGAGAAGAUUUGCAGCAUGCCCAUUCUGCUACAUUGGAUUGGAUGGAUAGAGACUCUUGGAAAAAGCAGUCCCUCAGUCAACCAGUGGAAGAGAUUGCCUUCAGAAGAUGUGGGAGCUUCAUCACUGGAAACUUUCAAGAAGAGGCUGGACUGCCAACUGUCAAAAAUGGUGUCAGGUCUCCUGAUGGAUGGGGGGGGAUUGGACUAGAUGACCUACAAGGUCCCUUCCAGCUGUUAUUCUAUUUUAUUCCUAAAUGUAAUAUGAAAUGCUCUGUUGGCAAUAUGGGGGGAGCCUUUAUGUCAGCCUAAAAUUUGACCCACACUACAGCUUUUGCAAAAAUACAUUUGUAGUAUGUAAAAUAAAAAAACGAGGAAAAAAGAAACAAAAAAAACCAGGAGAAUAGGGUAAUAUUGUAUCAAAUGAAAAUGUUCUGCAAAAGGUUUUUAUAGCAUAUUGAGAAAAGAGGUUUAUAAAACAAAAUGUUGAGGUGGGAAUGUGUUUUAAGUAUAGUAUGCUGCUACUAAAUAUACAGGAAAAUGUAAGAGCAAUUGAGAAAUGCAUGGAUGGAAUUAGAAUUUGGUGGCACAAGGCUAAAAAAUCGAAUCUAUGCAUUACAAUACAAGCUACGGAAGCUCAAGCAGUCGCCACAUUUUAGGCUAAAGUCACACUACGGUAAUAGCAUGUGACUCAUACUAUUAUCUCAAGGACCAAGUUGUAACCUAAAUAACAAAGGAGCCUCAACUGAUGACUGUCAAUGUCUUCACUGUAAUUGCUUACAUGAACUCCUCUCCCAAGUGCUAUGAUUUAAAAUAAAAAGCCAUUAAAUGA